rnacentral:ribozyme from 14 species
AAUCACACACAAGAUACCAUAAAAUGAAUGGCAAACCAAUUUUUUAAAAAAAAGAUAAAGAAAGAAAGAAGGAAGAUAAGACCCACGUUUCAUGUAUUUUUUUUUGUUUUUUUGUGUGUGUUUGAUAUU